AAUGAACGUUGGCGGCGUGGAUUAGGCAUGCAAGUCGAGCGCGAUUGGUUUUUUGCUUGCAUUGAACCAUGAAAGCGGCGAAAGGGAGAGUAACGCGUAGAUACCUGCCCCUAGGUCUGGGAUAGCGUCGGGAAACUGGCGGUAAUACUAGAUAAUGUCCCUGGACCAAAGGUGUGAUUCCGCCUAGGGAUGGAUCUGCGUCCUAUUAGCUUGUUGGUGAGGUAAUGGCUCACCAAGGCUGUGAUGGGUACCGGGUGUGAGAGCAUGGCCCGGCUCACUGGGACUGAGACACUGCCCAGACACCUACGGGUGGCUGCAGUCGAGAAUCUUCCGCAAUGGACGAAAGUCUGACGGAGCGACGCCGCGUGCGGGAUGAAGGCCUUCGGGUUGUAAACCGCUGUUAGCGAGGU
rnacentral:rRNA from 1 species